UAGCUAGUUGGUGGGGUAAAGGCCUACCAAGGCGAUGAUUGGUAGCUGGUCUGAGAGGACGGACAGCCACACUGGGACUGAGACACGGCCCAGACUCCUACGGGAGGCAGCAGUGGGGAAUAUUGGACAAUGGGGGCAACCCUGGUCCAGCGAUGCCGCGUGUGUGAAGAAGGCCUGAGGGUUGUAAAGCACUUUCAGUGGGGAGGAGGACUGACUGGUUAAGAGCUGGUAUAGUUGGACGUUACCCACAGAAGAAGCACCGGCUAACUCCGUGCCAGCAGCCGCGGUAAUACGGAGGGCGCGAGCGUUAAUCGGAAUUACUGGGCGUAAAGGGUGCGUAGGUGGAUGAUUAAGUUAUCUGUGAAAGACCUGAGCUUAACUUAGGGGUGUCAGAUAAGACUGGUUGUCUAGAGUAUGAGAGAGGGUAGUGGAAUUUCCGGUGUAGCGGUGAAAUGCGUAGAGAUCGGGAGGAACACCGGUGGCGGAGGCGGCUACCUGGCUUAAUACUGACACUGAGGCACGAAAGCAUGGGGAGCAAACAGGAUUAGAUACCCUGGUAGUCCAUGCUGUAAACGAUGUCGACUAGCCGUUGGCCCAUUAAAGGGUUAGUGGCGC
rnacentral:rRNA from 1 species